rnacentral:rRNA from 1 species
UACGUAGGGUGCGAGCGUUAAUCGGAAUUACUGGGCGUAAAGCGUGCGCAGGCGGUCCGCAAAGUCUGAUGUGAAAGCCCCGGGCUCAACCUGGGAACUGCAUUGGAAACUAACGGGCUCGAGUGUGGCAGAGGGGGGUGGAAUUCCACGUGUAGCAGUGAAAUGCGUAGAGAUGUGGAGGAACACCGAUGGCGAAGGCAGCCCCCUGGGCUAACACUGACGCUCAUGCACGAAAGCGUGGGGAGCAAACAGG